GCCAUGGGAGCCGUGACUGAUGAUGAAGUCAUAAGGAAACGUCUCCUAAUUGAUGGAGAUGGUGCUGGAGAUGAUCAGAGAAUUAAUCUGCUAGUAAAGAGUUUCAUUAAAUGGUGCAACUCUGGAUCCCAAGAAGAAGGAUAUAGCCAGUACCAACAUAUGCUGAGCACAGUGUCUCAAUGUGAAUUUUCAAUGGGCAAAACAUUGUUGGUAUAUGAUAUGAAUCUAAGAGAAAUGGAAAAUUAUGAAAAGAUUUACAAAGAAAUAGAAUGCAGCGUUGCUGGAGCACAUGAAAAGAUUGCUGAGUGCAAAAAGCAAAUUCUUCAAGCAAAACGAAUAUGAAAAAUUUGCCAAGAAUAUGAUGCUUUGGCAAAAGUGAUCCAGCAUCAUCCAGACAGGCGUGAAACAUUAAAGGAACUAGAGGCUCUAGGUAAAGAAUUAGAACAUCUCUCACAUAUUAAAGAAAGCGUUGAAGAUAAGCUGGAGUUGAGACGGAAACAGUUUCACGUUCUUCUUAGUACCAUCCAUGAACUUCAGCAAACACUGGAAAAUGAUGAAAAGCUCUCAGAGGUAGAAGAAGCUGAAGAAAUAAGCUUGGAAACAGAUCCUAAGCCGUAGAUAGGCUAAUCACACAUCAUUCUUAAGAAUACUAAAAUAGCUAUAUGAUCUUAAGUGUGUUUAAAAUAAGUUGUGCUCUUGAGAUAUUUCAAGUUUUGACAGCAAAAUAUUUUGCUUUUAAAUUUUCAUAUACAUUUCAUUCAUGUAUCUUCACAUAAGGGAAAAUGAUUUCAACAUAGAUUUGUUUUUAUUGAAAUGCAUUUUUUUAUUCUUAAGAGGUAGGAGGCAACAUCCAAAAAUGUUUAAUAAAAUAUUUUCAAACUGGAUGUCUUUUUGCUCAUUAGUAUUCUAGGU